rnacentral:rRNA from 1 species
ACUCCUGCGGGAGGCAGCAGUGGGGAAUAUUGCACAAUGGGCGCAAGCCUGAUGCAGCCAUGCCGCGUGUAUGAAGAAGGCCUUCGGGUUGUAAAGUACUUUCAGCGGGGAGGAAGGCGAUAAGGUUAAUAACCUUGUCGAUUGACGUUACCCGCAGAAGAAGCACCGGCUAACUCCGUGCCAGCAGCCGCGGUAAUACGGAGGGUGCAAGCGUUAAUCGGAAUUACUGGGCGUAAAGCGCACGCAGGCGGUCUGUCAAGUCGGAUGUGAAAUCCCCGGGCUCAACCUGGGAACUGCAUUCGAAACUGGCAGGCUAGAGUCUUGUAGAGGGGGGUAGAAUUCCAGGUGUAGCGGUGAAAUGCGUAGAGAUCUGGAGGAAUACCGGUGGCGAAGGCGGCCCCCUGGACAAAGACUGACGCUCAGGUGCGAAAGCGUGGGGAGCAAACAGGAUUAGAAACCCCGGUAGUCCCA